AGUAAUGCUUGGGAAUCUGGCUUAUGGAGGGGGAUAACGACGGGAAACUGUCGCUAAUACCGCGUAUUAUCGGAAGAUGAAAGUGCGGGACUGAGAGGCCGCAUGCCAUAGGAUGAGCCCAAGUGGGAUUAGGUAGUUGGUGGGGUAAAGGCCUACCAAGCCUGCGAUCUCUAGCUGGUCUGAGAGGAUGACCAGCCACACUGGAACUGAGACACGGUCUAG
rnacentral:rRNA from 1 species